rnacentral:rRNA from 1 species
CCUACGGGAGGCAGCAGUGAGGAAUAUUGGUCAAUGGACGAGAGUCUGAACCAGCCAAGUAGCGUGAAGGAUGACUGCCCUAUGGGUUGUAAACUUCUUUUAUAUGGGAAUAAAACGUUCCACGUGUGGGAUUUUGUAUGUACCAUAUGAAUAAGGAUCGGCUAACUCCGUGCCAGCAGCCGCGGUAAUACGGAGGAUCCGAGGGUUAACCGGAUUUAUUGGGGUUAAAGGGAGCGUAGGUGGAUUGUUAAGGCAGUUGUGAAAGUUUGCGGCUCAACCGUAAAAUUGCAGUUGAAACUGGCAGUCUUGAGUACAGUAGAGGUGGGCGGAAUUCGUGGUGUAGCGGUGAAAUGCUUAGAUAUCACGAAGAACUCCGAUUGCGAAGGCAGUUCACUGGACUGCAACUGACACUGAGGCUCGAAAGUGUGGGUAUCAAACAGGAUUAGAUACCCGUGUAGUC